GACGAACGCUGGCGGCGUGCCUAAUACAUGCAAGUAGAACGCUGAAGAGAGGAGCUUGCUCUUCUUGGAUGAGUUGCGAACGGGUGAGUAACGCGUAGGUAACCUGCCUUGUAGCGGGGGAUAACUAUUGGAAACGAUAGCUAAUACCGCAUAACAAUGGAUGACACAUGUCAUUUAUGUGAAAGGGGCAAUUGCUCCACUACAAGAUGGACCUGCGUUGUAUUAGCUAGUAGGUGAGGUAAUGGCUCACCUAGGCGACGAUACAUAGCCGACCUGAGAGGGUGGUCGGCCACCCUGGGACUGAGACACGGCCCAGACUCCUACGGGAGGCAGCAGGAGGGAAACUUCGGCAAUGGGGGCAACCCUGACCGCGCAACGCCGCGUGAGGGAAGAAGGUUUUCGGAUCGUAAAGCUCUGUUGUAAGUCAAGAACGGGUGUGAGAGUGGAAAGUUCACACUGUGACGGUAGCGUACCAGAAAGCAACGGCUAACUACGUG
rnacentral:rRNA from 1 species